rnacentral:rRNA from 1 species
GCCGGGGAACUACGAGCAAAGCUUAAAACCCAAAGGACUUGACGGUGCCCCAUACCCCCCUAGAGGAGCCCGUCCUAGAAUCGAUGAUCCCCGUUUAACCUCACCACUUCUAGUUCAUCAGCUUGUAUACUUCCGUCGCCAGCCUACCGCGUGAAUGAGAUUCAGUUGGCCCAACUGGCCUACAUCGCCAAUACGUCAGGUCAAAGUGCAGCAAAUGAAGAGGUAAGAGAUUGGCUACAUUUUUUAGUAUAAAAACAACGGAAAGCAAAUAAUGAAAAUUUGCUAGAAGGUGGAUUUAGCAGUAAAAAGAAUUCAUGACAUUCAUUUUAAGUUGGCACUGGAGUGUGU